CAUGCAGGGAGAUCCCUUUUAUUAAUGUCCGUGUAUAAAAGCAGUUGCAGAAAGUCUAGCAUCAUACUCACUGAAGAUCAAUCAACUGCCUCUUCAAAAAGCUCUAAACUCUCCGACGCUACGUAUAAGAAGACAUGAAGGCUCUCAUCAUUGUGACUGUAAUAAUCAUGUUUAGGCCACUGUUAGUUGCAUGUAUACUUGUUUCAGAUCAACCUCCCUCCUCGUUUUGCUCACCUCCUUAACUUAAGUCAGCCAUUAUUUGAGGUCAAAGUCCUUUUUUUGCUGACAUUGCAUUAUUUUACCAUGUGCCAUGUUGCAAGUUGCAUUGUGCACCAAAAAGCCAGUGCGUAAAAAAAUUAAAACUAUUUUUUUCAUACUCCGUCCUUUUGUGUAUUGUUGUCAGUUAAAAAAACAGGAUAUAACGUCAUCAAAAUAAUAAUUAUUUUAUAAUAAUGGGAUAAUGAGUAAUGAAGGCCUCCCUCCCUCCCUCAUCGGGGUCGAGCUAGUAUUCUCAUCUGAAACAAAUGCAACUAACAGUGGCCUCAUAGAGAAACAAAGGAAUUUAUAGUUACCAAAAAGGUCCAAUGAACCCUACAACAGGUUAUACAAGGUCAUAGCAAAAUGUGUGUGACUACAUGGACCGGAGAAAGUGUCUCUGGCUGCUUAUGCAAUGUGGUUGCUGCAUUGUACACGAUCCAGCCCCUCCUUCUUUUCUGCAGAAAACUGCUAAGCCAGCAAUAAUAAUAAUCUGUAAAGCGCAUGCGCGGAAAAUCUUAAAAAAAGCUGACACAUGAGAUUUCUUUACAUUUUUUCGAAAUCAAGCCCGUUCUCAAGACUCUCGAUUCUUCUACUCGCCAAUCAGGUGGCCGGCCACGAACACUAAAGAAUCUUCUCGAAGGCUACACGUACAUGUAUGGCCGGCCAUACACAACGAUAUCUCCUCAUCCAUCACACUUGACUCGAUAAACAUUACAAAGACCAGUCAUCUCAUUCAUAAUUAUUAUUUUAAACAGCUAUUAUGUUUUGAGGGGCCCCUCGUUAUUAUAGAGCUCUAUUAUUUCAAUAGUCACUCUAUUGUGUUGUGUUGGUGUUGGAGACUAUGGUGCCUGGAAUAGAGUGACUGAACUGAAAAUGGACCACAAAAAACGUUAAAACUGCAAAAUCAAGUGUCUAAGUCUACAAAAUAAUUAUCUUUAAGACAAGCUAUCUACUCAAGUCCCCAAGUCAAGUAUCUCCAGCCACUCGAAGAACAACAUUCUCAUCCUCAAGGACAGGACACUGGAGGAACAUGCAAGGACUCAUACUGGCACUCCUCACCUGGAUAGGAGGCUGGAAUGGCAGUUGUAUUUUACUGAGCAUUACAAUUCUGUAGUUACUGAGCAUUGUGUCCAAUUAGCAUGCCAUAAUGAUGUGUGCUAACCUCUGACACCAAUCACCUCUUGUCACAAUACAUGUUGUGAGCCGGCCGGAGACCACUAAUGGAACUCUAAUAGAGGAAGCGUCCAGUCUAUACAAUGCACUGCUACUACUCAAGUACAAGUCUGCAUGAUAGGGAUCAUCUCUCUACGUACUGACAGAAUUAACAAACUUCCCCAUCCUUAAAGAUGAACUACUGUUGGAAUUCCAAGCAUGCAAUGCAGAGCUGAUUAAUUUUAACUCGAACAAACAAACUAUUAGACAUGUACUGAGACUGACUCCUUUAUAUAGUAUUGAGUCCCACUCCCCCCCCCCCCCCCCAUGCAUGUGUCCCCAUGCAUGCCUCUCUGCCAUGCUCACCAGAUUACAGGAAACAGCAAGCCUAUCUACUAUAUACUCCUACUGCUAUACUCAAGUCAAGUCUCUAUAUCACUGGAAGGAUUUCAAUACAAACAACGUCCUCCUCCUUAAGGACGAGGACAGUGGACGGACAGCGACUGAUACUGGCACUCCUCACCUGGGUUGUACUGCAAGGGUGGAGUUAUAUCCAGCAUUAUAAUAAUAGGCAUCAUUAUUAUUACUGCAUGAGCAUUACAUUACAUGCUGUGUCCUAACCUCUGCCCUAACAAUGUUAUUAUCACAAUACAUGUUCUGGGAGACCACUGGCGGAAUUUGGAGAAUACUAGAGGAAACAACACUAUACAGAGUAUCUACUGCUACUAUACUGAAUUAAGUCAAGUCUGUAUGGAGCAUCUCUUCACCGGCAAUGACAUCACUGGCAUUGGUGGAAUACAAUGUCCUCCUCCUUAAGAAAAACUACUACACUCAACUACAUCUCAUCAGUCAUAAUUCAAUCAACUCAUUUUAUUUAUUGGGGGCCCCUACAUAUUUUCAUUUAUUUUUUCGUUUUCGUUGUUAUAAAUCAUGAAAGAAGAAGAAAAAUGAUCAGGAGGAGGAGUGGUCAGGCCACACCUACAAUGUACAUGUGACCACACCUCUAAUGCUAGGCCACACCCACCUUUCCACACCUUCAUGUGAGCUGUGGGUGUGCCUAGUACUACAUACACACAUGAUGCUUUGUCCCUGUGUAGACAGUACGUAUAACUAUACUCGAUUUCUAACCACCUGGAUUUAACAGAACCUUCAAACCAACUGGAAACUAACAGAACCUUCUAAUCAAUUGGACUGGGAUAGCCUCAAUAGAUAUCCCAGAUGGUCCCAUGGGCGGGGGGCCAGCGAUGCAGUGCCACAUACUCGCGACGGUGCUGGCUGUCACACUGCAUGGAGGGAGGACUAUCUCUCUAUAGUGUGCAAGAGCACUGCAAACUGAACACACUUUUGUAAUUUCAAUUUCUCAAUGAUUUGCUAUAAUUAAUGUGGUUUUGAAAAUUCAAUAAGAAAUUUGAACACAACAAUUGUUGGAUCAAGAGUUCAUUAGCGCAACUCCCACA